CGGGAUCUCCGGCGGCUUGGAGGCUUCAUGGAAAGGGGGCAACAACGAGGAAGCUUCACGGCGAGGAGGAGGAGCAGCGGCUCGGCAAAGAGAGAGAGAGAGAGAGAGAGAGAGAGAGAGAGAGAGAGAGAGAGAGAGAGAGAGAGAGAGAGAGAGAGAGAGAGAGAGAGAGAGAGAGAGAGAGAGAGAGAGAGAGAGAGAGAGAGAGAGAGAGAGAGAGAGAGAGAGAGAGAGAGCUCGACGAGGGGGGAGAAGAAGAAAGAGGAGGCUGGUGGCGCAGGAGAAGAGA
rnacentral:lncRNA from 1 species